AUCAUCUCAUUUAAAAUUUAAAAUCAAUCUAACUAACAUUAUUUCAAAAACAACAUACGAAUUACAAAUAAAGACAUAAAGCAUGAAUUACAAAAAAUUAAUAAAUUAAACAUACUAAAUAAUAGAAAAGGCCAUUGAAAUAAAUUCAUUCACAAUUCGAUUUAUAACAAAAACUUAUAAAAUAAAUAAUACGAAAUUUGAUAUGAACUUGUGUGAUGAAUUAAAACCGAAAAAAAAAAUAUCGUCAUCGGAAACUCAAACGGGGAUCCGACCUCAACUAUUUGCAACACUUUUCUUUUCUUUCUUUUUGUUUUUGUCCAGUUUGUGUGGGUAUGGCCAUGAAAUAGGAAGUAUUGGAAUUAUUUUGUUUUUCCCUUACUGUUGUUAUCUUCUUCUUUUUUUGUUUUUGUUUUCUGGUUUCCUCCCUUGUUUUUCUCUUUCUGGUUCUCUCUUUCUUUUUUUUUUUUUUUGCUCUUAGUCUUUUUUUGUUGUCUUUUUCGUGUGUAUGUAUUUGUGUGUUGUAGUGUGUAUAUAUAUAGGGGUGUGAUUUGGUAGGUUGAGGGAGUUGGAGUAAAAUUAGGGGGUGGUUGGGGUAGGUUAGGAUAUGAUAAGAUUUAAUUUUUUUUUUUUUAAAAAAUAUAAUUUUUAAGAAAAUACAAUAAAAAUUUUAAAAAUAGUCAAAAAUAAAUAUAAUUAAGAUAGUACUAAAACUACUAACUUAUUUAUUUAAAAAGAAACAUAUUUUUAAAAUUUUUGUAUUAUUUUUUUAAAAAUUGAAAUAAAAUAAAAUAAUAUCCUAAAAUUAACUUCAUUUAGUUAUUUAUCUUUUAACUAAAAAUUUGAUAAAAAUAAAAUAAUAAUUAAAAUAAUAUCGGAUUAAAUAUAAAUAUUUAAUACCGAAAAAUGUAUAUAUUACACUCGGGGAGGGUAAAAAAUUACGUGUCUACAUUUUCCCCCUCUUUGUUUGAUAUCUCGAAGAGUUUUUAUGCAAAGAAAUAGACAAAAAUAUGAUUUUUGAUCCUCCGAUUAUUCAAAAAGAAUAUAAAAAGAAAAAGGAGAUGUGACCAAGUCCUGAUUUUGGACUGCCUACAUAUCUCGGGUUAUAAGGAAAUUAGGUCACGUGUAGUUCAAAGGUAAAAUGGUGAGAGAACGAGUUAGAGGUUGAGUGAGGUUCCAUCGAGUUUUCGAUUGACAACUUCUGCUUUUACAUUCACAUAAAUAACAAAAUAAAAUUGAAGAUACAAGUGAAAGAUCGUAUCUAUUCAGCUAUUCUGGAAUCUUGACUUGAAUCUUCAUGACUUCUAAAAUGGUGAGAUAGUUAUUAUUCUGAGUUGAACUUGAAACAUAAAAUAUUCCACCUCGGUUGCUUUUGACAUUAAAGAGGAACUUGACAAUUGAUUUAUUCUUCAGAUUUUCUUCUGGUUUGGACUUUGAAAUCUUCACCCUAUUCUUCAGACGGGCUCCUGACUUGCAAUUGAUAAUUUUCACCCUAUUCUUUAAGCGAACUCCUGGACUUCCUUUUUUUUCACCCUGUUCUUCAGGCGGGCUCCUGGACUUAGAAUUUCUUCACCCUAUUCUUCAGGCGGGCUCCUGACUUGUUACUUCUUCACCCUGUUCUUCAGGAUUGCUCCUGACUUGUUACAUCUUUACCCGGUUCUCCAGGGCUCCUAGACUUCCUUUUUCUUCACCCGGUUCUUCAGGCAGGUUCCUGGACUUUCCUUUUCCUGCACCCUGUUCUUCAAGUGGGCUUCUGGACUUUCUCUUUCUUCACCUUGUUCUUAGGCAAACUCCUGGACUUCAUUUUUUUUUUAUUUUUCAAAUAUGUUUCUGAACUCAAAAUAAAAGGUGACACAGAAAAAUAACAUCUCAUUCUUCAUGAGGGCCCUGGACACAAAGUAAAUUCCUAUUCUUCAGGAGGGUCCUGAGCAAAAAGUAAAUUCCCAUUCUUCAGGAGGGUCCUGUGCAAAAAUAAAUUCCCAUUCUUCAGGAGGGUCAUGUCCCAUUCUUCAGGAGGGUCAUGAGAACAAAAUAAAUUUCCAUUCUUCAGAAGGAUCCUGUCCCAUUCUUCAGGAGGAUCCUGAGCAUAAAAUAAAUUUCCAUUCUUCAGGAGGGUCAUGCCCCAUUUUUCUGGAGGUCAUGUCCCAUUCUUCAGGAGGGUCCUUAGCUUAAAAUAAAUUUUCAUUCUUCAGGAGGGUCCUGAGCAUAAAAAUAAAUUCUCAUUCUUCAGGAGGGUCCUAUCCCAUUCUUCAGGAGAGUCCUGAGCAUAAAAUAAAUCUCAUUCUUCAGGAGGGUCCUGUCCCAUUCUUCAGGAGGGUCCUGAGCAUAAAAUAAAUUCCCAUUCUUCAGGAGGGUCCUGUCCCAUUCUUCAGGAGAGUCCUAAGCAUAAAAUAAAUUCUCAUUCUUCAGGAGGGUCCUAUCCCAUUUUCCAAGAGGGUCCUGAGCAUAAAAAUAAUUUUCAUUCUUCAGGAGGGUCCUGUCCCAUUCUUCAGGAGGGUCCUGAGCAUAAAAUAAAUUCCCAGUCUUCAGGAGGGUCCUGUCCCAUUCUUCAGGAGAGUCCUAAGCAUAAAAUAAAUUCUCAUUCUUCAGGAGGGUCCUGAGCGUAAAAAUAAAUUCUCAUUCUUCAGGAGGGUCCUAUCCCAUUCUCCAAGAGGGUCCUGAGCAUAAAAUAAAUUUUCAUUCUUCAGGAGGGUCCUGUCCCAUUCUUCAGGAGGGUCCUGAGCAUAAAAUAAAUUAUCAUUCUUCAGGAGGGUCCUGAGCAUAAAAAUAAAUUUCCAUUCUUCAGGAGGAUCCUAUCUCAUUCUUCAGGAGGGUCCUGAGCAUAAAAUAAAUUUUCAUUCUUCAGGAGGAUCCUAUCUCAUUCUUCAAGAGGGUCCUGAGCAUAAAAUAAAUUUUCAUUCUUCAGGAGGGACCUGUCCCAUUCUUCGGGAGGGUCCUGAGCCAAAAUAAAAUUUCAUUCUUCAGGAGGGUCCGAUCCCAUUCUUCAGGAGGGUCCUGAGUAGAAAGUAAAAUUCAAUGAACAUGAACAAAAUUUUUGCCCCAGUUUAUUCUUAGAAAAUGACUCGACUAAAAGGUACGUCUUAUAGGAAUCAAGGAAGAUGAUUCCACUAAAAGGUACGUCUUAUAGGAAUCAAGAUUCUAGUUACCUAACAAAAUAAAAACUGACUUAUUCAGACUAGGAAGUGCGUCUCCUAGAGGUUAAAUGAAAUGACUCGACUAGAAAGUGCGUCUUCUAGGAGUGAAGGUUCAAGGUAGGAAGUGUGUUACCUAACAAAUAAAAAACUGACUUAUUCAGACUAGGAAGUGCGUCUCCUAGGGGUCAAAUGAAAUGGAUCGACUAGAAAGUGCGUCUUCUAGGAGUGAAUGUUCAAGUUAGGAAGUGCUUCACCUAACAAAUGAAAAGCUAACUUAGUCAGACUAGGAAGUGUGUCUCCUAGGGGUCAAAUGAAAUGACUCAACUAGAAUGUGUGUCUUCUAGGAAUGAUGGUUCAAGUUAGGAAGUGCAUCACCUAACAAAUGAAUCUUGAAUUAUCCGGACUAGGAAGUGCGCCUCCUAGGGUUAAAAUGAUGAGUUUUUACCAUUAUUGAUUACCAAAUCUGUGUAACAGUACUGCCUUUUGCAUUUGCAGAAGUGAGAAAUUGCAGCUUUUAAAAGUUUUUAAAACCUUUGAUAUGAAGGUAACACAUGUUUUUGUUUCAUAUAAAGAAAAACUUUUUAAUUUAAUUUUAAAAUACGGUGGUUGAUUUGUGGCAUUUGGCUAUUGAGACGAUCUCUUGUACUUGUCAUGCCCAGUCCCAUUGCAAAUCAUUGAUAGGUAUUGUUGACUUGUUGUAGUAUUGACCCCAAAUUUUGACUACUAAAAUAUUAUGACUCAAAUCAUAUUUCUCUUGCAUGAUGCCUCAGGAUUCAGUUUCAAAUACACCUUUUAUACUUUUAUGAGUUCAAAAACUGUUGGAUGACAAGCAUUCUCGAGUACUUUACUUUAUUUUUGAAACAUGUCAUCUUUGUGUAUUGGUCUUUUGUCUUGUUUUGCACAACUAAAGGAGUUGGUAGCAAGUUUUGAAGUCUUUCCUCACUUAUCUUGACAAAAUUUUGACUAAAAACAAUAUAUGAAAGAUGACGAUAGUGAUUUUCUUUUGACCACAAAGACACAAAAAUUAAAAAUAAAAAUAGAAAAUAAAUAAAUAAAUAACAAAAAAAAUAGGAAAGCACAAUAAAUCUCUUCUUAAAAAAAAAACUCAAAAAGAAAAUUUUAUCUGGGUGUGGAAUUUGAUUCUAAUGAUUAUGACAUACAUUUUGAGUUAAACAACCUGAUCUAUCCAAACUAAUUACUAUCACUUUUUGCCCACUCAUUGAAUUUGAAAGGGAGUCAUUCUUGAACUUGUUUCCUCUGGAUUAUAAUCCUUCUUAGGCUAGUAACACCUCGAUGGGUUUUCGCCAACAAACCACUCCCACUUUUUUUUUUCAACUCAUUGUCAUCUUAUGGUGCCCAUGAAGACUUUUACCAAUAAAACUCCCAUUUUUAUUGAUCUCAUAAUUCACGGUCUCUUUAUGAUGCCCAAAAGGGUUUUCACCAAUAAGACUCUCUCAUUUUUUUAUUUUUUUUUUUAGAAAAUAACACUCAAAAUAUGAAAUAUCAUGCACCUAUAACAUGUUUACCCUUGACAUUCUCAAAGAUUGAUCUGAAGGUCUUUCUUUGGUUGUAGCUUGGCUUUUGGAAUGGGAUAGAAAGAAAGGUCGGCAUGGGGCUUAAAAUUUACACAAUAUUAGGUAAAAUACACAGCUUUUGGAAUCGACUCUUUUAAGGAAAUACACUUUUGCCCUAGUUUUAUUUCAUUCUGGGUAACUUGAAUUUUCUUUUGGUUGGACCGAACCCCAGAGUAGGGCUGCCUACGUAUCUUGUCAUAGGAAGAAUCAGAUCAAACGUAGUUUAGGCAAGUCAUUUUUUUUUUUGAAAUGAAUCUGGGCUUUCAUUUUUUCUUUUCUUUGAUUCUUCUCUUUUUGGGAUUUUUUUUUUCAAGUCCAUUUCUUUUCUUGUCAUUUUUUUUCUGACUCCAUUUUCUUUUUGACACUUUUUUUUUACUUCAUUUUUUCUUGAUAUUUUUCUGACUCCAUUUUUCUUGACACUUUUCUGACUCCAUUUUUCUUGACACCUUCUUUUUAUUUUUUCCAAACUCUAUUUUGAUUCCAAAAGAGGGGUAUAAAAUAAAAUAAAACUAAAGCUCAAAAAUGAUAACAAAGGAUGACACAACAUUUGGAUAGCAGAAUGAAAUGUCUUCGUCAUAUCAAUCCUUAAAAAUGCAAGCACUUAACAUGCAAUACGUGAGUGAACAUAAAGAUCAUGUAUAUUUUUUCAAUAUUGACCUUGACUGAAUAUGUAUGUCACUACUUCUCAUGCACUUUUCAGAUAGAAAGGUCCAAUUAUAUUCACAUUCCUCCCAUUAAAGGACUCAUUCGUUUUUAAGCUAACUUCCGUUUGCUUCUCCUGACAAUGGAGACUAUUUAUCAUCUGAUCGCUCUCAUUUGAAGUGUUUGAGAUUGACCUUCUCAUUGAUGACCAAGUCAUUUUUGAUUCACAAAUUGAUUGUUUCAAUUCAUUCAAGUGAGGCUUUAACUCAAUCAACAAACAUCUCAACAUUUUACUUAUUUCCUUACAUGAUUUUUUCUUUCAACUCUAUCUUCCUGGUCAAGUGUUUCAGGAUUAGAUUAGGUUUUAAGAUCUGGUGAAAAUUCAUCAUGCAUAUCGUAUUAUUAGAAUCACCAUAAAAGAAUUGAAUGAAGAAAAAGAAAAACAAAUAAACAAUAUUUUAAAAAAUAAAAAUAGAAAUAAAGGGACGCACAUUUUGUUGACAGAAAGACAAAAGGGUUUGAACAAAGAUGAUAAGAAAUAAGACAAGAUAAAUCCCGAACUACAACCCUAAAAUAAUUCGGAUAGCAAAAAUAAAAAUAAAACAGACUACCAAAAAUCCCUCAUCGUGAGGAGUGAAGAUUGACUUCUAAAUUUUUUGAACUUAAUAUUUUAGCCACUGAUUUGCACGUUGGCCUUAAUGGAGUCUUCGCCCUCAUUGCGACAUCAUCUAUUUUUUUCCAACCAUUCUGAAGUUAUCGCCAUUAAAGUCUCUCCAAAAUAAAUCGUCAGCAGUUUCUCUUUUUCCUUACUCCUCAUAAUUGAUUUCAAAACCUUUUUAGAUGAGUCAAAGGAUGACCAUGACCCUCGUAUAAGUCCAACUUUGGUGUUUUGGAGGUUAGAGGCAAGUAAACAUUGAAACAUAUAAAAAUCCUUGUGAGAAUUCUCUUUCUCUCUCUCAAUAUUUGCAUGUUUCUUAUAUUUUACUCCAAAUUUCUCACUUUUCAGGCCAGUUCUUCUUACUCCUCAUUUAUAACAGUCUACACCACCUCAUAUCAAACCCUAUACCAAUUUGUGUGUCAUCUUGCCUGUUCUUUGAACCUGGUGUUGUAUUGGUGAGAUGCCAAUUUAGCGACAAGCCAACCACCUUAACACUAUUUUGAUUUUGGAGAAAAUUAAUGUGUCAGAGUUCAAAAUUUUUCUUUAUAAGACCACCGAAUCCAUGAAGGACUUCCUACGUAUCUCAUUAAAAUGAGAAUCAGGUGAGCGUAGUUCUUAAAAAUUAUGUCGUACAAAACUCAACCUCAAGACCCCUAAAGGUUUACGGCUAUUAAGAUUUAUAUUUUUUUUGUAAAAACUUAGCCGCAUGAUCCCUAAACAUUCAGGGCUAUUAAGAUUUAUAUAUAUUUUUAUUUUGUAACACUUAGCCUCAUGAUCCUUAAAGAUUCUGAGCUAUUAAGAUAUAUAUAUAUAAAUUGAACUUGAGAAUAAAAAAAAAAUUAUGAAAGUAUUCAUAUUUUCAAAAUAUUCCCCAACAAAUCUAUGAAUAAUUUUUCAAAAGAUAGGGUCGUACCCCGAAAAAGGCUUCCUAUGUAUCUCAAUUAAGAGUGAGAAUCUGACCCUCGUAGUUCAUGAAGACCGUAAAACCAUGUUACUAAAAUUUUUCAUUUCUUUUAAAAAUAAAAUUUUCUUUGAAAAAUAAUUCACUAAAUAUGAGGAUAAUUUAAUCUCUUGCAUUUUAAAGUUGCUUAAAGCUGGUCAACAAAAAAACAACCUUCCAAACAAAUAUCAAAGAACACGUAGGAUGCACAUGUUGGUCUUUAUAAAGUAGGUCACCUGUCCUAGACAGACCCGGCCCCUGUGCCGGGUCCCGCUAAGUCAAAUGCAUAUGAUGCAAAUAAAGUAACACCUAAUAACGAUAACCAGAUUCUGAGUUUUCAGUUCUUCUAAGUUUAAGCAUAAUAGGGAUAGGUGUCUAAAUUGGCUUACUCGAGCAGACACUCGAGCCGUGGAGGCACAACUUGGUCGGUAGCAGGACAACACCGCCUUCGUCGCCAAUCCGAACCCCGCCUAACAUGUAUGACUAUAGUUCUUCACCAGGUGCCUUGACACUUCGGCUAUCUCAAAAAGAAAGUAGCUUCCUAUGUAUCUCAAUUAAGAGUGAGAAUCUGACCCUCGUAGUUCAUGAAGACCGUAAAACCAUGUUACUAAAAUUUUUCAUUUCUUUUAAAAAUAAAAUUUUCUUUGAAAAAUAAUUCACUAAAUAUGAGGAUAAUUUAAUCUCUUGCAUUUUAAAGUUGCUUAAAGCUGGUCAACAAAAAAACAACCUUCCAAACAAAUAUCAAAGAACACGUAGGAUGCACAUGUUGGUCUUUAUAAAGUAGGUCACCUGUCCUAGACAGACCCGGCCCCUGUGCCGGGUCCCGCUAAGUCAAAUGCAUAUGAUGCAAAUAAAGUAACACCUAAUAACGAUAACCAGAUUCUGAGUUUUCAGUUCUUCUAAGUUUAAGCAUAAUAGGGAUAGGUGUCUAAAUUGGCUUACUCGAGCAGACACUCGAGCCGUGGAGGCACAACUUGGUCGGUAGCAGGACAACACCGCCUUCGUCGCCAAUCCGAACCCCGCCUAACAUGUAUGACUAUAGUUCUUCACCAGGUGCCUUGACACUUCGGCUAUCUCAAAAAGAAAGUAGGAUGCAUGUGUUGCAUUCUUUCUAUCCUAUUUCAGAGACUCAGAGGGGGUGCGUAAGAGAAGGCAGUAUAUAAUACAAUUCAAUUAAUAUCAAAGCGGUAAAUGAGCAACAAGUAGCACAUAAGGCCAACAAACACAAUAUCAACAAUAAUUAAAGCAAGUAUAAGUCAAUAUAAAAAGCUCAAAUUCUUAUUAGUCCCCAGCAGAGUCGCCAGAGAUGUCACACCCCUUUUUCCGCUCGUGGCUUCAAGGUCGAAGGUUUUUUCCAAUUAAAGUGACGGUUUUGAAUAGGGAUUAAUUUAAUUUACAGAGUCGCCACUUGGAAUUGAGUUAUGGUGUUCCAACUCACCUUUUUGAAUCCCUAGUCAAAAGAAAAUGACUCUUUUUAUUGGUCUGCAAAAAUAGAAGACCGGGUAAGUAAUUCUGUUGACCGAGGAGAAGGUGUGAGGCACCCCUCGAGUCCCAUGGUUCUAGCACAGUCGCUUUUAUUAACUUAUCUUAACUUAAAUUAUUUUGAUAAUUAUGUUGGGGCCUAGGUUCGCUCAUUUUUUAUAUCUAAAAUCUGUCUAUAACUCUUGUAUUAAAUCGGUGAAAAUUAAUUUUAGAAAAAUAUUUGUCAAGGUGCAUUAUUGCAUCUUUGAAUUUUUAAAUGUCUCAAAAAGAUACGUACGUCGCAUUCUUAAUUGAGAUGAAUAUUUUUAAAAUGUAUCUAAACUUUAUCUAACGUUAAAAGCAUUUGUUUUUUUUUAUAAACUUGUAACAGUUAUUUAUUUGAAAUAUUAUUUAAUUUAAACAAUAAAAUUGAGUAAAAUUCAUUUUUUAAAGAAUAAAUAAUUUAAUAAAUAUUCAAUAAAUUUUAUUAAUGAUUAAUAAUAAUAAUAAUAAUAAAUCUAUUAAAAUUCCCCAAAUGUUAUAUUUAAAUCACGUCAUAUAAACUAAAUCAAAUUAAACAUGAAAGUUUCUUAUACUUAAUUAGCAUAAAAAAACUAUAAUAAUAAAAUAAAUAAAACGAAAACUUAUUAAAUAAUAGAUUACGAUCUUAACUUAUCAAAUCUUUACACUUGAUAAUUUAAAAGAAAUUUUAAAAAAAAAUAUUACAUGACCCUAUUCAAAAGAAAACAAAACAUAUCCAUAACUGCACAUUACUUUUUUGUUUAAAAUGGAUAAGAUAUUUUUGUUAUUUAAAUAAAAAAAAAUCAAAUUAACCUAAAAUCAGGUCUUCAAAUUCUUUAGUACCGAAAAAAAAAAUAAAAAAAAAUCUAUUAAAAUUCUCCAAAUGUUAUAUAUAAAUCACAUCAUAUAAACUAAAUCAAAUUAAACAUGAAAGUUUCUUAUGCUUAAUUAACAUAAAAAAACUAUAAUAAUACAAUAAAUAAAACGAAACUUAUUAAAUAAUAGAUUACGAUCUUAACUUAUCAAAUCUUUACACUUUAUAAUUUAAAAGAAAUUAAAUAUAUAUAUAUUCAUAUAUAUAUAUAUAGAGAGAGAGAUUACAUGAACCUAUUCAAAAUAAAACAAAACAUAUCCAUAACUGCACAUUACUUUUUGUUUAAAAUGGAUAAGAUAUUUUUGUUAUUUAAAUAAAAAAAAUAAGAAAAAUCAAAUUAACCUAAAAUCAGGUCUUCAAAUUCUUUAGUACCGAAAAUAAAAAAUAAACAAAAGAGUCCCUUUUUCUUGUUUUCAAACAUUCUGUUUCCCUCUUUUUGUGUUUGUAUUUUUCCUUCCUUUUUUAAAAAAACUAAUUAAUUAUUCUAUUUUUUGCAUGCAUGGAUGGUUUAUAUAAUAAUUUGCACGUUAACAUGACAAAUAACUUUAAAGAUCAUCUCAUUUAAAAUUCAAAAUCAAUUUGACUAACAUUAUUUCGAAAACAACAUACGAAUUACAAAUAAAGAUAUAAAGCAUGAAUUACAAAAAAAUAAUAAAUUAAACAUACUAAAUAAUAGAAAAAGCCAUUAAAAUAAAUUCAUUCACAAUUUGAUUUAUAACAAAAACUUAUAAAAUAAAUAAUACGAAAUUUGAUAUGAACCUGCAAUGAAUUAAAAAAAAAAAAAAUAUCGUCAUCGAAAACUCAAACGGGGACCCAACCUCAACUAUUUGCAACACUUUUCUUUUCUUUCUUUUUAUUUUUAUCUAGUUUGUAUGGGUAUGACCAUGAAAUAGGAAGUAUUGGAAUUGUUUUGUUUUUCCCUUACUUGUUAUCUAUCUUGUUUUUUGUUUUUGUUUUUCUUUUCCGAUUUCCUCCCUUGUUUUUCUCUUUAUGGUUCUCUCUCUCUCUCUCUUUUUUUUUUUUCGCUCUUACUCUUUUUUUGUUGUGUUUUUCGUGUGUAUGUAUCCGUGUGUUGUAGUGUGUAUAUAUAUAUAGGGUGUGAUUUAGGAGGUUGAGGGAGUUGGAGGAAAAUUAGGGGUGGUUGGGGUAGGUUAGGAUAUGAU
rnacentral:lncRNA from 1 species